rnacentral:ncRNA from 1 species
AAAAAGGCAAAGAAGAGGAAUACUACAUGGAGCUUCCGAAUCCAGAAAGCUGUUGGGUGAUGCGAAACAGCAGACGAAUUCCGUGGAACUGACCUCAGAGCCGCUGCUCCCAAAUUUAGAAUAAAAAGAGUAGGUGCAGACGGAAACCCACCGUUAGAAGGGCAGGAUAUGCAGAUGUUUCAUCCGUAUCCGCAGAGUGUACAGAGAAAAUCUCUGUAAAACAGGAGUGGUACCGCGUAAGAUAGCAAGUCUUUCGUCUCUUGU